rnacentral:sRNA from 1 species
UCCCUAUUGUCUGAGGCAGCCGCCCUCGCGCUGUGCAAUUUCUGGUCUUUCGUUGCUUCUGGUCCAGGCUAAUAAAGUUUUUCUUUCUUUGAUUUUUUUUUUCUUCUAGUUUUAACGGGAGAAAUUAACUCCCCGGGGCCGCCGGGUUGACUGCGCUGCCUGGGCCGGAGGUCUUCUCCGGCCAGGGAGCGCUGUGGGAAGGGGCUCGAGCGGCCAGGGCCAGGCGAGGCCGGGGGGGCGGGGGGUUAGGGGACCGCGGGGCUACUCUUGGGAGCGCCCCUGUCCGGUUGGCUGCGCGCCGGUUUUAAAUAGCAUCUUUAGGACUUGUCUUCGCGGCCCCAGUCCCCGACCUCGGCGCUGCCUGGGCUCCUGCAGCCUCUCCCUAAGUCUUCUCCAAACGACCACCUCACGGAUUCCUUAUGGAUCGCAGCUCCAAGAGGAGGCAGGUGAAGCCUUUGGCAGCUUCUCUGCUGGAAGCUCUUGAUUAUGAUAGUUCAGAUGACAGUGAUUUUAAAGUUGGAGAUGCCUCAGAUUCUGAAGGGAGUGGUAAUGGAAGUGAAGAUGCUUCAAAGGACAGUGGAGAAGGUUCCUGUAGUGAUUCUGAAGAAAAUAUUUUAGAAGAAGAACUGAAUGAAGAUAUUAAAGUAAAAGAAGAACAACUUAAAAAUUCUGCAGAGGAAGAAGUACUAUCAUCAGAAAAACAAUUAAUUAAAAUGGAAAAGAAGGAGGAAGAAGAAAAUGGAGAAAGACCUAGAAAGAAAAAGGAGAAAGAGAAGGAAAAAGAAAAGGAAAAGGAGAAAGAGAAGGAAAGAGAGAAGGAAAAAGAAAAAGCAACAGUGUCUGAGAAUGUGGCUGCUUCUGCUGCUGCCACCACACCAGCCACAAGUCCUCCUGCUGUUAACACAUCCCCUUCUGUUCCCACUACGACAACUGCUACAGAGGAACAAGUCAGCGAGCCAAAAAAAUGGAACCUUCGACGAAACCGACCACUUCUGGAUUUUGUGUCCAUGGAAGAGCUGAAUGACAUGGAUGACUAUGACAGUGAGGAUGACAAUGAUUGGCGACCUACUGUAGUAAAGAGAAAAGGGAGAUCUGCAUCUCAGAAAGAGGGAAGUGAUGGAGACAAUGAGGAUGAUGAAGAUGAGGGAAGCGGGAGUGAUGAAGACGAGAAUGAUGAAGGCAAUGAUGAAGAUCAUAGUAGCCCUGCCAGUGAAGGGGGUUGCAAGAAGAAGAAGAGUAAAGUUCUUAGCAGAAACAGUGCUGAUGAUGAGGAACUGACCAAUGAUAGCCUGACCCUAUCUCAAAGCAAGAGUAAUGAGGACUCGCUGAUUCUUGAGAAGAGUCAAAACUGGAGCUCUCAAAAAAUGGACCAUAUUCUGAUUUGCUGUGUUUGUCUGGGAGAUAAUAGUGAGGACGCUGAUGAAAUAAUUCAGUGUGACAAUUGUGGCAUUACAGUCCAUGAAGGUUGUUAUGGAGUUGAUGGAGAGAGUGACUCUAUUAUGAGUUCAGCUUCUGAAAACUCCACUGAACCUUGGUUUUGUGAUGCCUGUAAAUGUGGUGUUUCUCCUAGCUGUGAACUGUGUCCUAAUCAGGAUGGAAUUUUCAAGGAGACAGAUGCUGGAAGAUGGGUUCAUAUUGUUUGUGCCCUGUAUGUUCCUGGAGUAGCCUUUGGAGAUAUUGACAAAUUACGACCAGUAACACUAACGGAAAUGAACUAUUCCAAAUAUGGUGCCAAGGAGUGUAGCUUUUGUGAAGACCCUCGCUUUGCUAGAACUGGGGUUUGCAUUAGCUGUGAUGCAGGGAUGUGCAGAGCCUAUUUCCAUGUGACCUGUGCUCAAAAGGAAGGUCUGCUUUCAGAGGCUGCGGCAGAAGAGGAUAUAGCAGAUCCAUUCUUUGCUUAUUGUAAGCAACAUGCAGAUAGAUUAGACAGAAAGUGGAAGAGAAAAAACUACUUGGCUCUACAGUCCUAUUGUAAAAUGUCUUUGCAAGAGAGAGAGAAGCAACUAUCACCAGAAGCACAGGCAAGGAUCAAUGCCCGGCUUCAGCAGUAUCGUGCCAAAGCAGAACUAGCUCGAUCUACCAGACCCCAGGCCUGGGUUCCAAGGGAAAAAUUGCCCAGACCACUCACCAGCAGUGCUUCAGCUAUUCGUAAACUUAUGCGGAAAGCAGAACUCAUGGGGAUCAGUACAGAUAUCUUUCCAGUGGACAAUUCAGAUACUAGUUCUAGUGUGGAUGGAAGGAGAAAACAUAAGCAACCAGCUCUCACUGCAGAUUUUGUGAAUUAUUAUUUUGAGAGAAAUAUGCGCAUGAUUCAAAUUCAGGAAAAUAUGGCUGAACAAAAGAAUAUAAAAGAUAAAUUAGAGAAUGAACAAGAAAAGCUUCACGUAGAAUAUAAUAAGCUAUGUGAAUCUUUAGAAGAACUACAAAACCUGAAUGGAAAACUUCGAAGUGAAGGACAAGGAAUAUGGGCUUUACUAGGCAGAAUCACAGGGCAGAAGUUGAAUAUACCGGCAAUUUUGCGAGCACCCAAGGAGAGAAAACCAAGUAAAAAAGAAGGAGGCACACAAAAGACAUCUACUCUUCCUGCAGUACUUUAUAGUUGUGGGAUUUGUAAGAAGAACCAUGAUCAGCAUCUUCUUUUAUUGUGUGAUACCUGUAAACUACAUUACCAUCUUGGAUGUCUGGAUCCUCCUCUUACAAGGAUGCCAAGAAAGACCAAAAACAGUUAUUGGCAGUGCUCGGAAUGUGACCAGGCAGGGAGCAGUGACAUGGAAGCAGACAUGGCCAUGGAAACCCUACCAGAUGGAACCAAACGAUCAAGGAGGCAGAUUAAGGAACCAGUGAAAUUUGUUCCACAGGAUGUGCCACCAGAACCCAAGAAGAUUCCGAUAAGAAACACGAGAACCAGAGGACGAAAACGAAGCUUCGUUCCUGAGGAAGAAAAACAUGAGGAAAGAGUUCCUAGAGAGAGAAGACAAAGACAGUCUGUGUUGCAAAAGAAGCCCAAGGCUGAAGAUUUAAGAACUGAAUGUGCAACUUGCAAGGGAACUGGAGACAAUGAAAAUCUUGUCAGGUAAGUUGGAUGCUAAAACCUUGUCUUUAGGGGAUGAAAGCUCUAUAUUUAUUUUCUCAUCACAGAAAAAAUAAAAAAACAAUUGCAGGAUAAGACCUUUCUUAACAUAUUAUAUAGUGGAAACAGUACUUUAGAAACAGAUUUCAUCCACUUCUUAACCUCUCACACAUGGUUAUACUCUGGAUUUAAAUGUAAAUAAGAGUGAUAAUCUGCACGUUUAACACAGGGAAUUAUUUUUCUCUUGACAAGAGAAAUUAACAGUGCUCUCUAUUUAGAGGCCAUGAAAGUAAUUUGAUCUAAACACUGUGUACUAAGAUUAUUAUGUUUUAUGUCAGAAAACAAUAAAGUUACUAAGCUCUGUUAGCAUAUUCUAAAUGUUUGAAAUUUAGAAGCAAUGGUGAGAAGACAGACUUUUUAUUGACAAGAACUUAAUUAGCACUUUCUUAUUGCUUAUCAAAACAAAUGUGUUAAAUGCUUCUCCCUUACGAAAUAAAGAAAGGUGAAAAGAUGGCCUAGGUUGAUUUUAUUUUUUGUUUUGUCUUUGUUUCUUUGUUUCGUUUUGGUACUUUAUUUUUUUUUAAUCAGACAUAAUGCUAAUCAGAAAUCUUAGCUGAUGCUGCACAUUGGCUUUUCCCAACGGUCCAGAGGCUGCUAAUUUUAGCGGAAAUGAAGAAAUUGAUCAAAGCUCUGGUGAGAUGGGGGAGUGAGUGGGUGAACAAAAAGAGCUAAUUUAAAAGAGGCAUCAGACUUUCAAAGGACAGUGUCACAAAAGUUCUUAGAGUUCUUACAGGGACUUUGUAAGGGAAUCCAUUCUUACUUCUUUAAAAAAUUGUCUUCUGGUAAAGCCCUGUUAAAUUAACUGAGGACACAGAAAUUAAACAUUUCAAAAAGAAUAAACAUAUUGAUAAAAACAAAUAUAUUAGUGUUGUAUGUUUUUAAAUACUUACUUCCAAAUGAUUUAAUCUAUUUUGGUCAUUAAAAUA